AGGAUUCCCCUAGUAACUGCGAGUGAAGCGGGAAAAGCUCAAAUUUAAAAUCUGGCAGCCUUUGGUUGUUCGAGUUGUAACCUAGAGAAGUGUUAUCCGUGUUGGACCGUGUUUAAGUCUCCUGGAAUGGAGCGUCAUAGAGGGUGAGAAUCCCGUCUUUGACACGGACUGCCAAUGCAUUGUGAUGCGCUCUCAAAGAGUCGAGUUGUUUGGGAAUGCAGCUCAAAAUGGGUGGUAAAUUCCAUCUAAAGCUAAAUAUUGGCGAGAGACCGAUAGCGAACAAGUACCGUGAGGGAAAGAUGAAAAGAACUUUGGAAAGAGAGUUAAACAGUACGUGAAAUUGCUGAAAGGGAAACGCUUGAAGUCAGUCGCGUUGGCCAGGAAUCAACCUUGCUUCUGCUGGGUGUACUUUCUGGUUGACGGGUCAGCAUCAAUUUUGGCUGUUGGAAAAAGUUCAGAGGAAUGUGGCAUCUUCGGAUGUGUUAUAGCCUUAGUUCGCAUACAACAGCUGGGAUUGAGGAACUCAGCACGCCGAAAGGCCGGGUUUCGACCACGUUCGUGCUUAGGAUGCUGGCAUAAUGGCUUUAAUCGACCCGUCUUGAAACACGGACCAAGGAGUCUAACAUGCCUGCGAGUGUUUGGGUGGAAAACCCGAGCGCGUAAUGAAAGUGAAAGUUGAGAUCCCUGUCGUGGGGAGCAUCGACGCCCGGACCAGACCUCUUGUGACGGUUCCGCGGUAGAGCAUGUAUGUUGGGACCCGAAAGAUGGUGAACUAUGCCUGAAUAGGGUGAAGCCAGAGGAAACUCUGGUGGAGGCUCGUAGCGAUUCUGACGUGCAAAUCGAUCGUCAAAUUUGGGUAUAGGGGCGAAAGACUAAUCGAACCAUCUAGUAGCUGGU
rnacentral:rRNA from 1 species